rnacentral:miRNA from 14 species
GGUGUCUCUGUGUAGCCCUGGCUGUCCUGGAACUCACUCUGUAGACCAGGCUACCCUUGAUCUCACAGAGAUUCACCUGCCUCUGCCUCCCAAGUGCUGGGAUUAAAGGCGUGCGCCACCAAUGCCC